GACGAACGCUGGCGGCGUGCCUAAUACAUGCAAGUCGAACGAACUCUGGUAUUGAUUGGUGCUUGCAUCAUGAUUUACAUUUGAGUGAGUGGCGAACUGGUGAGUAACACGUGGGAAACCUGCCCAGAAGCGGGGGAUAACACCUGGAAACAGAUGCUAAUACCGCAUAACAACUUGGACCGCAUGGUCCGAGUUUGAAAGAUGGCUUCAGCUAUCACUUUUGGAUGGUCCCGCGGCGUAUUAGCUAGAUGGUGGGGUAACGGCUCACCAUGGCAAUGAUACGUAGCCGACCUGAGAGGGUAAUCGGCCACAUUGGGACUGAGACACGGCCCAAACUCCUACGGGAGGCAGCAGUAGGGAAUCUUCCACAAUGGACGAAAGUCUGAUGGAGCAACGCCGCGUGAGUGAAGAAGGGUUUCGGCUCGUAAAACUCUGUUGUUAAAGAAGAACAUAUCUGAGAGUAACUGUUCAGGUAUUGACGGUAUUUAACCAGAAAGCCACGGCUAACUACGUGCCAGCAGCCGCGGUAAUACGUAGGUGGCAAGCGUUGUCCGGAUUUAUUGGGCGUAAAGCGAGCGCAGGCGGUUUUUUAAGUCUGAUGUGAAAGCCUUCGGCUCAACCGAAGAAGUGCAUCGGAAACUGGGAAACUUGAGUGCAGAAGAGGACAGUGGAACUCCAUGUGUAGCGGUGAAAUGCGUAGAUAUAUGGAAGAACACCAGUGGCGAAGGCGGCUGUCUGGUCUGUAACUGACGCUGAGGCUCGAAAGUAUGGGUAGCAAACAGGAUUAGAUACCCUGGUAGUCCAUACCGUAAACGAUGAAUGCUAAGUGUUGGAGGGUUUCCGCCCUUCAGUGCUGCAGCUAACGCAUUAAGCAUUCCGCCUGGGGAGUACGGCCGCAAGGCUGAAACUCAAAGGAAUUGACGGGGGCCCGCACAAGCGGUGGAGCAUGUGGUUUAAUUCGAAGCUACGCGAAGAACCUUACCAGGUCUUGACAUACUAUGCAAAUCUAAGAGAUUAGACGUUCCCUUCGGGGACAUGGAUACAGGUGGUGCAUGGUUGUCGUCAGCUCGUGUCGUGAGAUGUUGGGUUAAGUCCCGCAACGAGCGCAACCCUUAUUAUCAGUUGCCAGCAUUAAGUUGGGCACUCUGGUGAGACUGCCGGUGACAAACCGGAGGAAGGUGGGGAUGACGUCAAAUCAUCAUGCCCCUUAUGACCUGGGCUACACACGUGCUACAAUGGAUGGUACAACGAGUUGCGAACUCGCGAGAGUAAGCUAAUCUCUUAAAGCCAUUCUCAGUUCGGAUUGUAGGCUGCAACUCGCCUACAUGAAGUCGGAAUCGCUAGUAAUCGCGGAUCAGCAUGCCGCGGUGAAUACGUUCCCGGGCCUUGUACACACCGCCCGUCACACCAUGAGAGUUUGUAACACCCAAAGUCGGUGGGGUAACCUUUUAGGAACCAGCCGCCUAAGGUGGGACAGAUGAUUAGGGUG
rnacentral:rRNA from 2 species